CCUACGGGGCGCAGCAGUGGGGAAUAUUGGACAAUGGGCGAAAGCCUGAUCCAGCCAUGCCGCGUGUGUGAAGAAGGCCUUCGGGUUGUAAAGCACUUUCAGUGGGGAAGAAAGCCUUGGGGCUAAUACCCUCGAGGAAGGACAUCACCCACAGAAGAAGCACCGGCUAACUCCGUGCCAGCAGCCGCGGUAAUACGGAGGGUGCGAGCGUUAAUCGGAAUUACUGGGCGUAAAGCGCGCGUAGGCGGUCUGAUAAGCCGGUUGUGAAAGCCCCGGGCUCAACCUGGGAACGGCAUCCGGAACUGUCAGGCUAGAGUGCAGGAGAGGAAGGUAGAAUUCCCGGUGUAGCGGUGAAAUGCGUAGAGAUCGGGAGGAAUACCAGUGGCGAAGGCGGCCUUCUGGACUGACACUGACGCUGAGGUGCGAAAGCGUGGGUAGCAAACAGGGUUAGAUACCCCUGUAGUC
rnacentral:rRNA from 1 species